GUGUACUGCAGUGCGGGAGUGGUGGUAAGACGGGGUGAUCAGGAAGUAGUCUGAAUCAGUGGGUGUAAAGGGCGCGGAGUGUGGAUGUAAAGUCAGGAGUGAAAUCCUAGGGAUUAACCAUAGAACUGAAUGUUAAGCUUUCAACCUAGAGUAUGGAAGUGGCAGAUGGAAUUAGUGGUGUAGGUGUAAAAUCCGUAGAUAGCACUAGGAAUACCGAAAGCGAAGGCGAUCUGCUGGGACAGUACUGACGCUGAGGCGCGAAAGCGUGGGGAGCAAACAGGAUUAGAUACCCUUGUAGUC
rnacentral:rRNA from 1 species